rnacentral:rRNA from 1 species
GACGUAGGGUGCGAGCGUUGUCCGGAAUUAUUGGGCGUAAAGAGCUCGUAGGCGGUGUGUCGCGUCGGCCGUGAAAACCUGCAGCUUAACUGUGGGCGUGCGGUCGAUACGGGCAUCACUGGAGUUCGGCAGGGGAGACUGGAAUUCCUGGUGUAGCGGUGAAAUGCGCAGAUAUCAGGAGGAACACCGGUGGCGAAGGCGGUUCUCUGGGCCUGACCUGACGCUGAGGAGCGAAAGCGUGGGGAGCGAACAGG